CUAAAUGGUGAUCCCAUUGAGCGGGUCCCCCAGACCACAUGGAGCUGGUUGCUGCUUGAGAUUCUCAGGGCUGGGCUGUUUUCUCAGAGAGCUGAGCAGCUCUUUUCAAGGCCCGGCCAAGUGACCACAAACCCAGACUGGGUUGGCUCCAUUCCACUAAUUGCUUUCCAAAGGGAAGAGGCCCGAAUGUCCCAGAUUUCACAAGGAAGGCUGCUGCCAUGUGGGGCUGCGGUUACCAAAUGGCUCUGCUUGCUGAGGAGUCAUGUUUCCAGAUAAUGAGGGGUUAUUUAUUACACCACAGGACCAGAAGACUUUCCCUUGCUUUGUGAGCAUGGUGAGUUGAAGACGCCUUUCAUGUUGAAUUAAAUUUGAUAUCAGGGGCAACACACACAAAAUCCAUCCCAAGAUAGAUUCUCCCCCUUUCCUUCUUCCUCUUUUUUAUCCUCCUUUCUUUCCUUCUUUCUCUCCUCCUUACCCCUUCUUCCUUUCUCCUUUCCUCUUUCCUUCUUUUCUCCUUUUCCUCCUUUCCUUCUUCCAUUUCCCCUUUCCCUUUUCCUCUCUUUUUCCUUUCCCCCUUUCCUUCUUUCUCUUUCUCCUUUCUUCCUUUCCUCCUUUCCUCCUUUCUUUCUUUCUUUCUUUCUUUCUUUCUUUCUUUCUUUCUUUCUUUCUUUCUUUCUUUCUUUCUUUCUUUCUUUCUUUCUUUCUUUCUUUCUUUCUUUCUUUCUUUCUUUCUUUCUUUCUUUCUUUCUUUCUUUCUUUCUUUCUUUCUUUCUUCCUUCCUUCCUUCCUUUUUUUUUGUAACUUUCUUUCUUUCUUUCUUUCUUUCUUUCUUUCUUUCUUUCUUUCUUUCUUUCUUUCUUUCUUUCUCUUCUUUCUCUUCUUCUUCUUUCUUUCUUUCUUUCUUUCUUUCUUCUUUCUUUCUUCUUCUUCCUUUCUUUCUUUCUUUCUUUCUUUCUUUCUCUUCUUUUCUUUCUUUCUUUCUUUCUUUCUUUCUUUUUUCUUUUCUUUUCUUUCUUUUCUUUCUCUUCCUUCCUUCCUUCCUUCCUUCCUUCCUUCCUUCCUUCCUUCCUUCCUUCCUUCCUUGCAGAAAAGCACAAUUUAGAGUAUGAGAAUAAUGACAUUAUUAUAUUGCUAGUUCACAGUGUUAAACAAGUAAUAAU
rnacentral:lncRNA from 1 species